AGUUCGGACUCUAUCCUGUGCAAGCGCUUGAACUUUUGAGGAGACUCUUCCACAGUACGAGAGGACCUGGAAGAGGAAAUCACUGGUCUACCGGUUGGCUCACAAGGCCAUUGCCGGGUAGCUAAAUUUCCAAACGAUAAACACUGAAUGCAUCUCAAGUGUAAAGCGAACUCCAAGAUUAGAAGUUCCCAUUAGCUUCCCCGCAGAAUACGGGGUUGAUAGGCCUCAGGUGUAAGACCUGUAAGGGUUUUAGCCGAGAGGUACUAAGUAGCGACUCUCCCAUCUUU
rnacentral:ncRNA from 1 species